rnacentral:rRNA from 1 species
AUUGAACGCUGGCGGCAGGCCUAACACAUGCAAGUCGAACGGUAACAGGAAGAUGCUUGCUUCUUUGCUGACGAGUGGCGGACGGGUGAGUAAUGUCUGGGAAACUGCCUGAUGGAGGGGGAUAACUACUGGAAACGGUAGCUAAUACCGCAUAACGUCGCAAGACCAAAGAGGGGGACCUUCGGGCCUCUUGCCAUCGGAUGUGCCCAGAUGGGAUUAGCUAGUAGGUGGGGUAACGGCUCACCUAGGCGACGAUCCCUAGCUGGUCUGAGAGGAUGACCAGCCACACUGGAACUGAGACACGGUCCAGACUCCUACGGGAGGCAGCAGUGGGGAAUAUUGGACAAUGGGCGCAAGCCUGAUGCAGCCAUGCCGCGUGUAUGAAGAAGGCCUUCGGGUUGUAAAGUACUUUCAGCGGGGAGGAAGGGAGUAAAGUUAAUACCUUUGCUCAUUGACGUUACCCGCAGAAGAAGCACCGGCUAACUCCGUG